AGUGAACGCUGGCGGUAGGCCUAACACAUGCAAGUCGAACGGCAGCACAGUAAGAGCUUGCUCUUACGGGUGGCGAGUGGCGGACGGGUGAGGAAUACAUCGGAAUCUACUUUUUCGUGGGGGAUAACGUAGGGAAACUUACGCUAAUACCGCAUACGACCUACGGGUGAAAGCAGGGGAUCUUCGGACCUUGCGCGAUUGAAUGAGCCGAUGUCGGAUUAGCUAGUUGGCGGGGUAAAGGCCCACCAAGGCGACGAUCCGUAGCUGGUCUGAGAGGAUGAUCACCCCACCGGAAACUGACACCCGGUCCAGCCCCCGACGGGGGGCAGCGGGGGGGAAUUUUGGACAAGGGGCGCAAGCCUGACCCAGCCAUCCCGGGGGGGUGAAGAAGGCCUUCGGGUUGUAAACCCCUUUUUUUGGGAAAGAAAAGCAGCAGGUUAAUACCCCGCUGUUCUGACGGUACCCAAAGAAUAAGCCCCGGCUAACUUCGU
rnacentral:rRNA from 1 species